UUAGCACUAAUCUUGAUAUUUUGUAUCUGCAUAUUUGUUUUGAGUCGUGCAUGUAACUUAGAUGAUCUAGGAGUAGCGAGUCCUCUCAAGUUUCAGCGAAGGUGUGCGGAGGAGGCGAGAUGCUGAGAUGCUAUGAGGUGCAACAGCUUGGUGAGAUGCCCGUGACCAUGUGAUGUGGUGCUGCAUGCGGAAGCUGGAGCGAAAGGAGAUGCAUGAGGACCAACCGAGUGAUUCGGUCAGCUAUCUAUGUUUGCAUGCAUGCUUUGGCCGGGUCGUAUGCCUAGAGUGAUUCUAGGAGAGGAAGACCAGGUUAGUCGUUAGUAGCAAGGUUCAUGCAUCAGUUAGUUAGUGCAUGUGCAAGUGUUGGCUGAGUCAAGUGUGAUGGCCGGUGUAGUGCGUGCGUGGAGUUAGUGGUUAGUGGACUAUUGCGUGAGAUCAUGGUUAGUGGCCGAGCAUGGUGGCUGGGCUGUGCAUGGGUCCUUGUGUAUAUAUGUACUGAGUUAAUGAAAGAGGAGCCGAGAGGUCCAGCAGAAAAUAUGUAGCAUGUGUGUUCGCCAAGGAGAAGAGACCCUGGGCAAAGCUUUCGUGCUCCUCCUUGGUCCAUGCGUGUGUGUGUGUGUUCUUGAGAGAAGGUACAAGAGAAGAAGAUAGAGAGAAACCACAAGAGAGCUGUGAGAGCCAGCUCAAGGUAAAAGAAGAAGUGGCACUGCGAGGAGGCGGCGCCAACAAUUGGUAUCAGAGCCUUGUCGAUCCGAGGCGGUGGUGGCACCGUGGCGGACUCCAUGUGAGGUGGGGGACGGCGGUGCGAGGUGGAGACCGGAGACGGUGCGAUGCCGUGGGCGACCGGUUGCAGUGCGAUGCCGCAAGAUGGAGAUGGCGGUGUGAAGCUGCCGCAAGAAGACGACGGUGUGACGCCGUUGGGAGGUACGGCGGCGCGAAGCCGUCAUGAGGAUCGGCGUCGCGAGGACGUCAGCCACGACAAGAUGGUCCAUGGUAACCAGCGCUGCGACGGCGUCGGUGGCGGCGAGUGGCCGGUUGCGGUGCGAUGCCGCAAGAAGAUGAUGAUGGUGACUGGCGCUGCGACGGCGUCGUCUACGACAAGAUGGUGCGUGGUGAUCGGUGCUGCGAUGGUGUCGUCCACGGCAAGGUGCUGCGGGUGAUCCGCAUCGAAGAAGAUGAUAUCAAGAUUAGGGGGUGAAUGUUAGCACUAAUCUUGAUAUUUUGUAUCUGCAUAUUUGUUUUGAGUCGUGCAUGUAACUUAGAUGAUCUAGGAGUAGCGAGUCCUCUCAAGUUUCAGCGAAGGUGUGCGGAGGAGGCGAGAUGCUGAGAUGCUAUGAGGUGCAACAGCUUGGUGAGAUGCCCGUGACCGUGUGAUGUGGUGCUGCAUGCGGAAGCUGGAGCGAAAGGAGAUGCAUGAGGACCAACCGAGUGAUUCGGUCAGCUAUCUAUGUUUGCAUGCAUGCUUUGGCCGGAUCGUAUGCCUAGAGUGAUUCUAGGAGAGGAAGACCAGGUUAGUCGUUAGUAGCAAGGUUCAUGCAUCAGUUAGUUAGUGCAUGUGCAAGUGUUGGCUGAGUCAAGUGUGAUGGCCGGUGUAGUGCGUGCGUGGAGUUAGUGGUUAGUGGACUAUUGCGUGAGAUCAUGGUUAGUGGCCGAGCAUGGUGGCUGGGCUGUGCAUGGGUCCUUGUGUAUAUAUGUACUGAGUUAAUGAAAGAGGAGCCGAGAGGUCCAGCAGAAAAUAUGUAGCAUGUGUGUUCGCCAAGGAGAAGAGACCCUGGGCAAAGCUUUCGUGCU
rnacentral:lncRNA from 1 species